AUUGUUUGUACUGACGUCCUUCCUUUUAUGGACGCUGCGUUCAUGCCCGCAGGUAGACAGAGAGACGGACCGGAUACCUAGGAGCUCUAUCAACAGUCUUAUAGGAGCACUCCACUUCUCCGGAGUUGCCGCUUGUUGGGGAUCGAGCUGGAGCAGUAUAUGUCAAAUUAGCGAGUUGUCAUCUGAAGUUGGAUAGCAAACAUGAGGCUGCUAGUGCUUACGCUAAUGCUGCCCGUUGCUACAUGAAGACAGAUAUGACAGAGGCAAUAUCAUGUCUAGAGCAGGCAGCAGACAUGUUUCUGGACAUUGGAAGUGCAAAGCUGGAUGCAUGGAGUACAAAACUUCUCCUGAGAGUGAAGAAAGGGUUGAAGGCGAAGAAGCUAAAGGAAGAUGAUCUUACUCUCUUUUUUUUCUUUUUUUUUUUAUUCAACAUAGGAUUUUUAUUCAUCUUCAGCAAAAACUUGUACAUGAGAGGAUAGGGAGCUGUUAAAACAAAAGGUCCUUCCUCAAAAAGAAGAUUUUGAACCUAUCUUAAGAACAAGAAGAUGAGGUAAAUGCUACUCUGAAAGGAACACCCUAUACAUCUUGUGUUCCUUCAAAAAUUAUGUACAAUCUAGGUGGAUCAUAUACAAGCAUAGCAGGUUUCCUCUUUCUAAUCCUAAAGAAGCAAAUUCUCCAUAUAUCAGCAUUGAGAAGCCCUUUAAUUUCUCUCAGUAAGCUAUUUGAAGGUGGUGAGGAUCUUCAGUUGGUUUAGCUUGUGGUCCAUAAAGGUCAUUCUGUAGCAGUGAUUGGUACC